CAGGACUCCAGGCUGAAGGAAAUAACCCGACAGGUGCUCAAUGUGAAACCAAAUUCGAGGCUGACAUUGUUCUGUUGGUGGACGACUCUGGGAGCGCCUUUGACACCAUCAAGUCCUUUGUCACUAGACUAGUUCAAGGUUUUGACAUCGGCCCAGAUAAAGUCCAAAUUGGUCUGGUUCAGUACAGUGGCGCCCCAAGGACC